rnacentral:tRNA from 1 species
CCCUAUAAAUUGGAGAAAAAAAAUAACUGCGAUUUUUUACCUGGGUGGACGUUUCCAUAUUAUUUUCUG